CGUUAUUCUGCAAAGGUAAAAUCUUCAUUAAUGUACAUUAUUUAAUGUUAGUGUAAUCCAUUUGGUAAAAAUCGCUUUAUGGUUGCUUGCAUUUAGCCUAAACAAUAAUGUUUGUACUAUGGGGAUUUUCUAUCACUUAAGGCCAUGUUGGCUUAACAAUGUAUAGAUUUCAUGUCAAUAAUUCAGCUAGGUUUAGUAGUAGAUAUCAACUGCCCUUAUGAAUGUGACUAAACAUUGAUGGUUGAACACAAGGUCCAUCAAGCAUCCUUUUACAUUAUUUUGUUUCUUCUAACAGUUCUGCAUUUCUAACAUAAUAAAUCCUGUAAGUCCUGUUGCAGGAUAAAUUAUAGUGUUUUUAUUUUCCUCUGUCUUACAGAUCCCGUCUUUUCCUGCCCUUCAUUAUCCAUCUCUUUAUUUAAAGCAAAACAACGGCUCUUUUAAGAGCCACUUUUUUCUGUACUACAUAAACCCACAGGCAUAUCACUCACUCACUCACUCACCCACCCAAUCACUGUCUGUCCGUCUGUCUGUCGGUCUGUCUGUCUUUCUGUCUCCGUGGCUAAACAUGCCAACGAAGGGGUCGACACAGAGAAAGUGUGUCAAUUGUGGCACACUUAUAAAUGUUGUCUGCAAAAAAUGCAAGGCAUGUCAAGCUAUCCAACCAUACAAGGUUAGACUUGCACAAAAAAUUGAAGGCUUCAAUCGUAAGCGUGAAACGUGGGUCCAAACCCACCAAAAGAACCGGACCAGCUCUCACGUUCGGGAUGAGGCUAGCAUGUUGCUUGAGAAAUUGCAGGCCCUUGGAUGGAGGCCCGUUUUAUUCCUGGCAAGACCUGGAAAAAAGAAAAAUUGCUGGCACUCUGAAGUUUUUGCCCCUCUCUGCCAUCUGUCUGAGAGGUCUUCUGCGUGUCUGGAAAGGAUGAAGGCACUGUUUGAUCUCGUUAUUGAAGGUAAUAUAUUUUUAUUAUUUUUAAAAAACCUUUUGCGGAUAUAUGUGUGAAUAAAACGUUUCUGAAAAAUACUACAACACAUUGUAGAAGGACAUCUGCAGCGAUAUUUGAAGCUCAGAGUGGGUGCUGUAGUGGUCCAUACGCAGUGAGCACCCAUCUCAUUGUAAUGGAGGGCCUGACACCACAAAUAUUCUCCUUACUUUGCGAACAGCGUCAUUCAGAGCCGAUAUCGGUUGUAACAGUCAGCACAGCUUGAUUGAUUUUAACCAAAGUUUACUUGUCAUCACGCUGAUAACCCCAACAAAGCAUUACUGUUAGUUAGGCUUUUUACAGACUAUAUUUUAGAGUCGUUGUCACCGAUUUAUUGCAGUCAAAUCACAGGAAAAUCUCUGUCUCCUCCUGAAGACAAUGAACUUCCAUUAAAUUAAAAUUGACCAAGAAUGUUUCAAAAGACUCAAUGAAAGAGCUGGAAAGAGGAAAAGACCUUGCCCUGAGGUAGCCCGUGGCCCCCGUCUGGGGCCAGGCCCGUCAGAGAUUUCUGUGGAUUUGGCCCAUGUGUGAUUUAUGAUGGGGAGAAAUGUUUUUGGAAAGCCUCUCCCUUAAAGCGUCACAAAUAUAUAAGCUAUAUUAAUAGAAUAAAUAUCUGCCUGUUUAUUUAAUGUUUCAUACAGUUACAUUUAGAUUGUUGAACUUUAGCAACACCUACCUAAUGUUUUAAUAGUAUUUUUUACAUGUCUAAUGACAUUGAAAACUUGUAGUGACAGUAUAUCCUUGUAAACUUGUGAUAGUUGUACUUGUUGCAUAUUGUUUAUGUCAUGUUUUAACAGUGCUAACUUGUUAAAUGGCAGCCUAUGUCAAUGUUUCUGUUUGACGUGUUACGUUUAACAAAACAGGAUGGAGAUGCAUGCAGAUGGGUUGCCUUUUCAAACUUACUCACUGCUUUAACAAAGGCAAUACACUUGAUAGGAGCUUGUGAUUCUGAAACAGCAAAGUAGACAGUUAUUACUCUAGAGCUCCAUUACCCCCAUGAUUGACGAUUUCUGCAAAGUAUGGAGAUAUUAAUGAUACACUUCCAUUAGAAAAAGUGUGAUUUACUUGUGAAACAAAUCACAAUUGCUCGUACAUUGUCUUCAUUCAGACUGCUGUACAUUUUUAUUUUCUGUAAUUAAACGGCAGUUGUUAGCUAAAGCGCAUUGAAUAUUUAUUAUUCAAACUUAAUAAAACUCUUUACGGAGUAUAUACUGUAGUGUAGUUUGUAAAUACAAUCGGCCUUUCACAUUGUUGGUUCUCGGGUCCUAACUAGUCAAAGUAUAUAGUUCUCUAAAUAACUCUGUUCUACUCCAAUGAAGGUUGGACCCCCCCAGAGACACCUGCAGCAGCCUCCACUCUGCCUCCACCCUCUGUCCUCCACCCUGUCCACCAGAGACACCUGCAGCAGCCUCCACUCUGCCUCCACCCUGUCCACCAGAGACAUCUGCAGCAGCCUCCACUCUGCCUCCACCCUGUCCUCCAGAGACAUCUGCAGCAGCCUCCACUCUGCCUCCACCCUGUCCUCCAGAUACACCUGCAGGAGCCUCCACUCUGCCUCCACCCUGUCCUCCAGAUACACCUGCAGGAGCCUCCACUCUGCCUCCAGAUACACCUGCAGGAGCCUCCUCAAAAACUCUUGAAGAAGGUAUGUAGAAAAGGCAAAGGGAGCUUCUGUAUGUAAAGAGCAAUAUAAUGAGUUGUAAGCCACACGCAACCACACACUUCUUUCGUCACGUUACAAAAUGUAAACCACUUCUUAGCAAUAUCAAUCCCGUAAUCCGUUUUGUUUGAAAGAAGUUUGAGUUAAUUAUAUUUCUUCGCUUCAAUUUCAAUGCACUGCCCCACUUAGCUUUUGUCAUAACCUGAAAAAGCCCAAAACAAAUUUCUCUAUGAUGUAAACUGCGUCCCCUUUGGUGCAAUUAAUGUUAAAGCAACUGUCUCUCUUCAAAUUAAUGAUGAUACAAAUCUAAAGAGCUGCUGGGCUAAUAGCAUCAACACUAUUAACACCACUAGGACAUUAGCACUUUGGUCAUGUGCUUUGCAAAUAAAUGUACAUUUACAUGUUACUGUAAUAACUGCUUGUGUGAUUUUCGGGUCACUUUGGGACUUUGCCUCCAGCUAGUGCAGGCUCUAUGGAAUAACAUAGGUGUCAUUCUUCCUAUUACAAGUCAAUAAAACAGUAGAUUUAAAAUGAUUUAUUAGUGUAAGGCAAUUCAACUAUUUUCUGUACCUUCAUCGAUGUCUGAAUCCCCUUAUCUAUGACACAGAUUGUUUGUGCAUUUUUGUAGCUUAGCAUAACAUUUAUUGCAAAGACUAUUAGUUAUUAUUUCCGAUACUGACAGUACAAUUUCAAAAUACAUCAUAGUUGUAACAAGUGUCACUCUUUAGCUGCCUUUCCAUCAUUUUUUGCAAGCCCUAAAU
rnacentral:lncRNA from 1 species